GGACCAAGGAGUUUAGCGUGUGCGCGAGUCACUGGGUGGAAAACCCAAAGGCCCAAUGAAAGUGAAGGGAACUUGCUUUCUCAGGGAGGAUGGGCGCGCGUCCUUUAAACGGCGCCGCCCCGCACUCCCGGGGCGUCUCUUUCUCAUCACGAGUGGAGGCGCACCCAGAGCGCACACGCUGAUACCCGAAAGAUGGUGAACUAUGCCUGGCCAGGACGAAGCCAGGGGAAACCCUGGUGGAGGUCCGCAGCGAUUCUGACGUGCAAAUCGAUCGUCGGAGCUGGGUAUAGCGGCGAAAGACCAAUCGAACCAUCUAGUAGCUGGUUCCAUCUGAAGUUUCCCUCAGGAUAGCUUGCGCUCGGUUUAGACGAGUCUCAUCCGGUAGAGCGAAUGAUUAGAGGCCUUGGGGUCGGAACGAUCUCAACCUAUUCUCAAACUCCAAAUUGAUGAGACCCCCGGCUUGCUUGAAAGUGAAGCCGGGGACAUGGAUCAGAGCGCCAAGUGGGCCAAUUUUGGUAAGCAGAACUGGCGCUGUGGGAUGAACCAAACGCGGAGUUAAGGCGCCUGAAUCGACGCUCAUGUGAAACCAUGAAAGGUGUUGGUUGCUCCAGACAGCAGGACGGUGGCUAUGGAAGUUAGAA
rnacentral:rRNA from 1 species